rnacentral:lncRNA from 1 species
CUUUGAGCCAGCUUUAAUAGCUGAGGGACCCUCCCUGCCCCAGCUAAGAGCCCUCAGCCCGUAACGAGGCUUUCUAUAAAGUCCCCAUACAGGGCUGUCCUUCUGGUUUUCUUGGGAGCUUUAGGAAAGGUGGCAGCAGUCUUCUCUAGUUCAGGGGUUGCUACUGCUCAUCUCUGAUAACAAAAGCAAGAAAUUAUCUGCUUCUACAGGGAAGGCUUCAGUAUGUGCUUUUAUCUUUAAUUAGUGUGUGGAUAUUAGGCAAGGAAAGGCCUACCUUAUGGUAUUCUUAUCUGUUCAAGCUCUGUCCUGGAUGCAUUCAGUGCUGAAGGUGCAGGAAGGAAGGUGUUAUGCAGCCAGCCCCUCUCCAGAGCUGGCUGCUGCUUUCAAAACACAGCCAGCACCUCAGCUGCCUGCCUGUGGGGGUGUUAUAAGGGUAAAAGAAGGUUUUAAAGCUGAGCCUGGGGUAAUCAGUUGAGGAAGCUGUGUGUGCUGCUGGACAACAGGAAUUGAGAUUGUAGCUCCUGCUCCUGGAGAAUACUGAACCUAGAGGAGGAAUGUGAUAAACUGGCUGCUCCAAGAACCAGAGCGGGCUGUGGAAUUGGACUUUGCUGAUUAUUGUAGGAAGGACUCCCUGGAUGAGGCAAUCAAGAUGAAGUAUUUUCUACCCUACACAGCCAGGAUUAAGGCUGGUGCCUGCUGGUGGAAGAUGCACCAACCUGCAGCAGUGUGAGGCUGGGGAGGGGUUGUGAUAAACCUCUCUGUGACAUAGAUGUUGUAAGUCAUAAUCACCUGCUCCUUGGUGCUCAUGGAUGUUCCAGACCCUGCCUCAGUGCCCCACUGAUGCAGCACAACCUCACACCUCCAGCUGCAAGCUGCAUCCCUGCGGUAAAGCAGCCAGCUCAGAGAAGCCUCUGCUUGGCCAAGCCCUGGGCAAGGCUCCCCUGGUGCCUCUGCAGGUGGGAGACCCCGGGGAUUCUCCAGGCUGGAGAUGUCCGGGUGAGGCUGGAGGGAUCUGUGGGGGGUGGGCUGCUGGAGGUGUGAGCAUCUCGGCUCUGCUGCUAGCAAGGUGUUGCAGCAAUGCUUACAAGGGGAGAGCAUCAUCUCCUGCUUCAUCGCAGCAUAGCAGUCUCAAGAGUAUAGCAGAAACGCUCCCCAAAAGCUUUGCAGAGCCCAUACCUGUGCCAGGCCUCCCCUUCCAGGCUUCCCAGCACCAGAGGUGGCAGCAAGGACAUCUCCUGGGCGCAGGGGCUGGGAGGCUUGGAUGGGGAGCGGAGCUGCUGCCAGCGCAGCCCGGCAGCUGCGGAGGUGUGAAAUGCUGA